rnacentral:rRNA from 1 species
GACGAACGCUGGCGGCGUGCUUAACACAUGCAAGUCGAACGCAGUGGCGGACGGGUGAGUAACGCGUAAUCAACCUGCCCUUCUGCGGGUGACAACAGUUUGAAACGACUGCUAAUACCGCAUUCUGAAGAUGGGGACUCCGUCUGAUUAGCUAGUUGGGGGGGUAACGGCCCACCAAGGCGAGGAUCAGUAGCCGGACUGGAGGGGUGGACGGCCACAACGGGACUGGGAACAGGCCCAGAAUCCUACGGGAGGCAGCAGUGGGGAAUCUUCCGCAAUGGACGAAAGUCUGACGGAGCAACGCCGCGUGAGUGAUGAAGGCCUUCGGGUUGGAAAGCUCUGUUAAUCGGGAAGCGGUACCGGAAUAGAAAGCCACGGCUAACUACGUGCCAGCAGCCGCGGUAAUUC